rnacentral:rRNA from 1 species
UACGGAGGGUGCAAGCGUUAUCCGGAUUCACUGGGUUUAAAGGGUGCGUAGGCGGGCAUGUAAGUCCGUGGUGAAAUCUCUGAGCUUAACUCAGAAACUGCCAUGGAUACUAUAUGUCUUGAAUAUUGUGGAGGCAAGCGGAAUAUGUCAUGUAGCGGUGAAAUGCUUAGAUAUGACAUAGAACACCCAUUGCGAAGGCAGCUUGCUACACAAUGAUUGACGCUGAGGCACGAAAGCGUGGGGAUCAAACAGG